ensembl:ncRNA F11D5.18 ncRNA
GGGUUUAUCGGUUUUUUCUACAUGUCCAUAAACCAAACCAGUGCGAAAUGUUUAGGGUUGCGCUUAAGAAAAAGGCGUCCACAAGUAGAUGUACUUCAGAAUGUUGGGCAAAUAAUGUGAGACGGAAAAGGAAAGA